UACGGAGGGUGCGAGCGUUGUUCGGAAUUACUGGGCGUAAAGCGCGUGCAGGCGGCCCACUAAGUCUGAUGUGAAAGCCCGGGGCUCACCCCCGGAAGUGCAUUGGAAACUGGUGGACUCGAGUCCCGGAGAGGAGAGUGGAAUUCCUGGUGUAGCGGUGAAAUGCGUAGAUAUCAGGAGGAACACCGGUGGCGAAGGCGGCUCUCUGGACAGUGACUGACGCUGAGACGCGAAAGCGUGGGGAGCAAACAGG
rnacentral:rRNA from 1 species